rnacentral:rRNA from 1 species
AUACGUAGGUGACCAGCGUUAUCCGGAUUUACUGGGCGUAAAGGGCGUGUAGGCGGUCUUGCAAGUCAGAAGUGAAAUUCCUGAGCUCAACUCGGGCGCUGCUUCUGAAACUGCAGGACUUGAGUGCUGGAGGGGAUAGCGGAAUUCCUAGUGGAGCGGUAAAAUGCGCAGAUAUUAGGAAGAACACCGGUGGCGAAGGCGGCUAUCUGGACAGUAACUGACGCUGAGGCGCGAAAGCGUGGGGAGCAAACAGGAUUAGAUGCCCUGGUAGUCCACGCCAUAAACGAUGAAUACUAGGUGUAGGGGGUAUCGACUCCCUCUGUGCCGCAGUUAACACAAUAAGUAUUCCGCCUGGGGAGUACGGCCGCAAGGUUGAAACUCAAAUGAAUUGACGGGG